ensembl:miRNA
CUUUCGGGGGCACGUCUGGAAUUCCGCUAGUUCUGAACUAUUCGGGGUUGGAAAAAAAGUUCACUACUAGCAGAACUCGGACUUGCACCCGGCUCUC